UGCAUAUGUCUGAUAAGUGAAGUUGGUAUUAUCCAUUGGCGCAGGUGGAUAGUUGGAGUCUAUCUAGGAUUUCUCAGUAUGGAUAUUUGAAAGGGCAUGCAACAAAGAAAGAAUUAAACUUAGAGUUUGUAAAUUCAGAUACAAAGAAAGUUGAAGAUAGCUUCCGCAUCAUCAAAACUCAAGGUUCCUCAUGAAAGAUUGUGGUUACAGAGAUAAGAGAUGGAGCACCUUCUCCCGCUGCAAAAUAUAUCUUGCAACUUCUUUACAAAAAAAAAUGUUGAUGUGCUUUGUGGAAAUAUUUCCCAACUCUUUGAUUACUUGAUGAGCUUCAAUGGAAUAUAAAUCCAUACUCAUUAUUUCAUUCAAUUUUCGUAAGUGUCUAGGGGAGCUACAUCUCUUUUGUUCUCAUCAAGAAACAAUAAGCUUCUAAGCUCAUAUAAUAGGAAGUGAAAAUUCUCCAA